AUGAAGAGCUAAGCAAUCCUGCAACAUAUAGGGUUUAUCCUCCGAUUCUUCUUCCAUUAAAACGUCAUUUAUGUACUUGAAGAAAGCGUGGGAGAAAUCGAAGGUUUCACUAUUGUAGGGAGAAUCACUAUUCGAGCUCGAUUCCAUAGAUGGAAUAUUGGCACUAGGAGAUUGCAGGUUGGCAGAAAUUGAUAGAGGGUUCAUGGAAGCAAGAUUGAAUUCAAACCCAUCAACAGAAUUAUGAUUUGAAGUAACUGCAAAUGAUCCGCACUCACACUCGUCUCCGUUCAUUGAAGCGGAGGAGCAAGUGGAGUACUAAUUGGAUAAAUAUACGAAAACGAGAAAAAGGACUAAAGAAUCAAGUGAAGGAAAAUUUCCAGAAACUGGAAGCCAGAUAUCUAUGGACGGUCACAAAUGAUACAAAAAAAUUGCCAUAAGAUGGUCAGAGUUACUGUAGCAACAGGGCGAGGAAUAUUCAAAUGCUACAAAAAUAUGAACAAAUAAGGUAAAAUCUGACAGGCGCAAUUAUCGGAAGUUCAGCUUCAUGGAAACCUCACAGACCCUUAGCAUCCGUUAAAUGGCAUUUGUGGGGCAAUAAUCCUGCGUCUCUCUCUAUGUAUUAAAGAUCAAGAAAUCUGUAGUGUGUCGGAGCCAAAUGGGAUUGGACAAGGCUAACGUCAAACU
rnacentral:misc_RNA from 1 species